rnacentral:tRNA from 1 species
UCUAAUAUGGCAGACUAGUGCAUUGAAUUUAAACUUCACUUAUAAAGUUUAUACUUUUUUUAGA